rnacentral:rRNA from 2 species
ACAUGCAAGUCGAACGCACUCUCGUUUAGAUUGAAGGAGCUUGCUCCUGAUUGAUAAACAUUUGAGUGAGUGGCGGACGGGUGAGUAACACGUGGGUAACCUGCCCUAAAGUGGGGGAUAACAUUUGGAAACAGAUGCUAAUACCGCAUAAAACCUAACACCGCAUGGUGUAGGGUUGAAAGAUGGUUUCGGCUAUCACUUUAGGAUGGACCCGCGGUGCAUUAGUUAGUUGGUGAGGUAAAGGCUCACCAAGACCGUGAUGCAUAGCCGACCUGAGAGGGUAAUCGGCCACACUGGGACUGAGACACGGCCCAGACUCCUACGGGAGGCAGCAGUAGGGAAUCUUCCACAAUGGACGAAAGUCUGAUGGAGCAACGCCGCGUGAGUGAAGAAGGUUUUCGGAUCGUAAAACUCUGUUGUUGGAGAAGAAUGUAUCUGAUAGUAACUGAUCAGGUAGUGACGGUAUCCAACCAGAAAGCCACGGCUAACUACGUGCCAGCAGCCGCGGUAAUACGUAGGUGGCAAGCGUUGUCCGGAUUUAUUGGGCGUAAAGCGAGCGCAGGCGGUUUCUUAAGUCUGAUGUGAAAGCCUUCGGCUCAACCGAAGAAGUGCAUCGGAAACUGGGAAACUUGAGUGCAGAAGAGGACAGUGGAACUCCAUGUGUAGCGGUGAAAUGCGUAGAUAUAUGGAAGAACACCAGUGGCGAAGGCGGCUGUCUGGUCUGUAACUGACGCUGAGGCUCGAAAGCAUGGGUAGCAAACAGGAUUAGAUACCCUGGUAGUCCAUGCCGUAAACGAUGAGUGCUAGGUGUUGGAGGGUUUCCGCCCUUCAGUGCCGCAGCUAACGCAUUAAGCACUCCGCCUGGGGAGUACGACCGCAAGGUUGAAACUCAAGGAAUUGACGGGGGCCCGCACAAGCGGUGGAGCAUGUGGUUUAAUUCGAAGCAACGCGAGAACCUUACCAGGUCUUG